rnacentral:sRNA from 3 species
GCGAUUAUUACCACCUGCAUCAGCCAGGUGGGCUAGCGGCUGUCCAAACCGCCACCAACCCGCCUCGAAGGCGGGUUCA